UUGAACGCUGGCGGCAUGCUUUACACAUGCAAGUCGAACGGCAGCGGGGGCUUCGGCCUGCCGGCGAGUGGCGAACGGGUGAGUAAUGCAUCGGAACGUACCCAGUCGUGGGGGAUAACUACGCGAAAGCGUAGCUAAUACCGCAUACGUCCUGAGGGAGAAAGCGGGGGAUCUUCGGACCUCGCGCGAUUGGAGCGGCCGAUGUCGGAUUAGCUAGUAGGUGAGGUAAAGGCUCACCUAGGCGACGAUCCGUAGCGGGUCUGAGAGGAUGAUCCGCCACACUGGGACUGAGACACGGCACAGACUCCUACGGGAGGCAGCAGUGGGGAAUUUUGGACAAUGGGGGAAACCCUGAUCCAGCCAUUCCGCGUGAGUGAAGAAGGCCUUCGGGUUGUAAAGCUCUUUCAGCAGGAACGAAACGGUAGGCUUUAAUACAGUCUGCUAAUGACGGUACCUGCAGAAGAAGCACCGGCUAACUACGU
rnacentral:rRNA from 1 species